GGCUCAGAGCGAACGCUGGCGGCAGGCUUAACACAUGCAAGUCGAGCGGGCGUAGCAAUACGUCAGCGGCAGACGGGUGAGUAACGCGUGGGAACGUACCUUUUGGUUCGGAACAACUGAGGGAAACUUCAGCUAAUACCGGAUAAGCCCUUACGGGGAAAGAUUUAUCGCCGAAAGAUCGGCCCGCGUCUGAUUAGCUAGUUGGUGAGGUAACGGCUCACCAAGGCGACGAUCAGUAGCUGGUCUGAGAGGAUGAUCAGCCACAUUGGGACUGAGACACGGCCCAAACUCCUACGGGAGGCAGCAGUGGGGAAUAUUGGACAAUGGGCGCAAGCCUGAUCCAGCCAUGCCGCGUGAGUGAUGAAGGCCCUAGGGUUGUAAAGCUCUUUUGUGCGGGAAGAUAAUGACGGUACCGCAAGAAUAAGCCCCGGCUAACUUCGUGCCAGCAGCCGCGGUAAUACGAAGGGGGCUAGCGUUGCUCGGAAUCACUGGGCGUAAAGGGUGCGUAGGCGGGUCUUUAAGUCAGGGGUGAAAUCCUGGAGCUCAACUCCAGAACUGCCUUUGAUACUGAAGAUCUUGAGUUCGGGAGAGGUGAGUGGAACUGCGAGUGUAGAGGUGAAAUUCGUAGAUAUUCGCAAGAACACCAGUGGCGAAGGCGGCUCACUGGCCCGAUACUGACGCUGAGGCACGAAA
rnacentral:rRNA from 1 species